rnacentral:misc_RNA from 1 species
UACGGAGGGUGCAAGCGUUGUUCGGAAUUAUUGGGCGUAAAGGGGAGGUAGGUGGUCUUGUUUGUCCGGGGUGAAAUCCCUGAGCUUAACUCAGGACGUGCCUCGGAAACGGCAAGACUAGAGUCCUGGAGAGGGUCGCGGAAUUCCCGGUGUAGCGGUGAAAUGCGUAGAGAUCGGGAGGAACACCAGAGGCGAAGGCGGCGACCUGGACAGGUACUGACACUCAACUCCGAAAGCGUGGGGAGCAAACAGG